rnacentral:lncRNA from 1 species
CCAGCACUUUUCCUCCUGUGUACCAAGUGCUUGCAGACACUGCCACGUUCAAACUGUAAACUCUCACAGGAGAGGCAGCUCAUCGUACUGGGGAAUAAGAAGAUUUUUGAAGAACAAACCAGCCAGCCCCCAGAUCUUUCCACAUCUUGGAGUAGGAGUGAGAAACAUGUCACUGAACUGAAACUGCAGGAAGCUUCCAGUAAGCAGCAUGCAGUCCUGGCCUGUGGCUUGGCUGGAACCUUGGCCUGAUGCCUCCAUUCCCACCACAGCUGUUGUGAUCCUGGGACACUCCUUGGCAAGCAUUUGCAGUUCUCUGGAAGUAUGUAGCAGGAUGGGAAAAAAACCCAGUGAAUCCUUUCCGUGAUGUACCUCAGCCUUGUCUUCAGCUCAGUGAAUUUUGAUCCUGCUCCUUAUGUUAUCUACAACUAGGUGAACAUCUGCAAGUGCCAAAAGGGUUCUGGAGAAGUAGAUGUACCUGAGAAGUCAGGUGAGGCUUCAAACACUGUUGUACACAUUGCAAAGGCAUGGGGUAACCCUGCCUGUGCAGAAGUUCCUUCCUUGAUUCCUGCACAGCAAACAGCACUUGCUAAGAGGGCUCCAGAACCUACAGAUCCCCACGUGUCUUCUCUAGUAUUUGCAGCAGCAUGAUGGCCUGUUGAAUGCUAUGCCAUCCAGAGAACUUGUGGUGGUUGGCAUUUCUGAAUAGUUUGCAGUUUUCUGGUGGACACCUCACUUCCUCAUCAGAGUACUCAGAGUUAUUUGGGAGUGUUCAGGAAACAGGAGUCUCCUUACAAGAGUCCAUUUGUUUUGGGUGCCCAGUUCAAAUAUAUGCUGGGCAUGGGGUUUUGAUUCUUCAGAAAUUCUCCUGAUUCUUCCUGACAUUCUCCUCUGGAAGACAGAUGUCUCAGAUGGGACGUCCAAGAUCAUUAGCUGAUUUUCUGGAAAAUAAAAUUCAAUUGGCAGUGACCCA